CGAAAAACGUUGCGUUUCAUUUUGGAACGGUAAUCGUAAGCCUGAAGAUGGCCUAUAAUAAGUAGGUUGAAAACGAUUUGAGAAAUUAAAAGAAUUUAUUCUCGGCAAAAAAUUCAGUUUGGGUACGCAUCAAAAUAGACUGUUAGCGCAUAUCCUAUAGAAAUGUAUCAGACCAAUGCGCAAGAUUUUUAAAACGGUAUGCAAAGUAACACAAGACAGUAGAUUAAAGAGAAAAUGAAUAG